UUUUUUUUUUUUUUAUUCAACAACAAAUUGCACUUUCUGCUGUUAACAAUAUACCUCACUAGUCCAGCAUGCAAGUGAAGAGUCCCUGUUUGUUAAUACCAGAAAUCCAGGGUUGUUUUCAGGUAAGCAUCAAUAUCUUAAAUCAACAUUAGUCUUAUAAUCUAACAGCUAAGUUGUAAAAUUAUCAGCAUGAAAUAAUAAACAAGUAAAUAUCAGCGAGACUUAUUUGAUUACCUAUAUAUAUAUAUUAAUAGAAAAGAAUACUAUAUAUAUA
rnacentral:lncRNA from 1 species